AUUGAACGCUCGCGGGAUGCUUUACACAUGCAAGUCGAACGGCAGCGCGGACUUCGGUCUGGCGGCGAGUGGCGAACGGGUGAGUAAUGUAUCGGAACGUGCCCAGUAGCGGGGGAUAACUACGCGAAAGCGUAGCUAAUACCGCAUACACCCUACGGGGGAAAGCAGGGGAUCGUAAGACCUUGCACUAUUGGAGCGGCCGAUAUCGGAUUAGCUAGUUGGUGAGGUAACGGCUCACCAAGGCGACGAUCCGUAGCUGGUUUGAGAGGACGACCAGCCACACUGGGACUGAGACACGGCCCAGACUCCUACGGGAGGCAGCAGUGGGGAAUUUUGGACAAUGGGGGCAACCCUGAUCCAGCCAUCCCGCGUGUGCGAUGAAGGCCUUCGGGUUGUAAAGCACUUUUGGCAGGAAAGAAACGUCGCGGGCUAAUACCCCGUGGAACUGACGGUACCUGCAGAAUAAGCACCGGCUAACUACGUG
rnacentral:rRNA from 1 species